ACUAAGCCUGCGAGUCAACUCGAAAGAGUGGCGCACGGCUCAGUAACACGUAGUCAAUCUACCCUGAGGACGGGGAUAACCCCGGGAAACUGGGGAUAAACCCCGAUAGGUCAUAGCUCCUGGAAUGGGCUAUGGCUCAAAUCUAUAUGGCCUUAGGAUGGGACUGCGUCCGAUCAGGUUGUUGGUGGGGUAAUGGCCCACCAAGCCUAUAACCGGUACGGGCUCUGAGAGGAGGAGCCCGGAGAUGGGCACUGAGACAAGGGCCCAGGUCCUAUGGGGCGCAGCAGGCGCGAAACCUCCGCAAUGGGCGAAAGCCCGACGGGGUCAGUCCGAGUGGCUCCUGCUAAAGGAGUCUUUUGCCAGCUGUAAACAGGCUGGUGAAUAAGGGGUGGGCAAGCCUGGUGUCAGCCGCCGCGGUAAUACCAGCACCCCGAGUGGUCGGGAUGAUUAUUGGGCCUAAAGCAUCCGUAGCCGGUGUGGUAAGUCCUCCGUUAAAUCCACCUGCUCAACAGGUGGGCUGCGGAGGAUACUGCUACACUAGGAGGCGGGAGAGGCGAGGGGUAUUCCACGGGUAGGGGUAAAAUCCUCUGAUCCGUGGAGGACCACCAGUGGCGAAGGCGUCUCGCCAGAACGCGCUCGACGGUGAGGGAUG
rnacentral:rRNA from 1 species